rnacentral:tRNA from 1 species
GGCCUAAUGGCCCAAUGGCAAGGCGCUUGACUACGAUCAUUCAGUAAUCAAAUCAAGAGAUUCCAGGUUCGACCCCUGGUUAGGUCA